CAGUUUGUGUGUCGCGCCCUAAACCAGAUUGCUUUUGCAAGGCCAUCCAACUCAGGAAUGUUCUCCUCAGGUUGUUGAGCUUGUUCUGCAGCUGCUUGCUGCCCAAAUGCAAUCCAGUUUGUGCCCUGAAGCUUGAGUACACGUUCUUCCAUCCCAACUUAGUGAGGCAUCUGUUGCUCCAAUUGAACUGGUUCUUCUGAGCAAUGCACAAGUCUAGCAAAGUUUUCGUCAUGCCCUCAUCCCAGCUGGCACGGUUAUUCAUCUGAGUACACAGGAGCUGCAAUUAUAUUGCACCGAGCUACGGAUAACCAGGAGGCAUACAACUAAACAAUCUAAAAUUACUGGAUAUGUUACUUGCCUUAGCAGGUGUCUUGGCGCGUUUGUGGCGGAAAUUGUAGGGCACACCGGUGGGGGAGAGCACGACGAAGUCGAUGACGAUGCCAGUGUGGGCACCGUUGGUACUUCCUCGCGGUUGGCCUGCUAGUAGCCUUGUAUCAGUCGCCUGGAAAGGUGAGAAAACCAAAAACAGACUGUGAAAAAAAUCCAGAAGGUUGAAAAUACAAUCACUGGCACAAAAGAAAGAUUUGAGGUUUUGAUGUGCCAAUUUCAUCAUUUGAAUCAGUUAUCCUGAAUUAAAUUUGGACACUAGUUUCAUUUGAGAAUUAAAGUAAGAGUGAUAUGCAAUAAAAAUAAAGAAAUAAGCAUGCCAUGCUAGAAUGUUGCAGUAGCUAGUUUAACAUCUAACAUAGUCAAAACAUCUCAUUUUAUUCAUGCAACAAUACCAAGCAUAUGGUAUCAAGUAGCAACAAUAAGAAGAUUAAGUAAACGCUAAAUAGUUGACCAGCACUUCAUAUUAAGGAUGCCUUCAUUCAAUCACUAUCACAGUCAUCGGUACAUCUGGUCUAAAGCACAAACAAGGCAUCUUUGUACACCAAGUAAUUCCCAAUUUAAGUUGUAAUUAGCUUAACAAGGUAUGAGCAACCAUCCGGAAAUUCUGUUCCCAGUACAGAACUGACCCACAGCAUUAGAUCAAUCAAACUACCAACCAAACCGCAGCACCAUGGUUGACCCACCCCAAAUCUCCACGAAUCCGAUGGGGGAGCAGCAUUACCUGUGAGCGAAGGGGAGGGAGGGGGCGACGGACUGGGAGAAAUUCCUUGCACGCGACGGCCCGCCGGCGGCGGAGAACGGGCGCGACCGAGGGAGCGGGUGAGCGGAGGGAGCGGCGGCGGCGGAUCCGGAGGGAGCGGCGGCGGCGGCGGAUCCGGAGCGACCGCGACCGACGGAGGGGCGAGAUGCGGGAGCGACGGCGGCGUCGUGCGGCCGAGCGCGACGGCCGGCCGGCGGCGGAGAGCGGGCGCAAGCGAGGGAGCGGGUGAGCGGAGGGAGCGGUGGCGGCGGAAAGGGAGCGAGAGAGAGCGACGGGCGUAUGUGGCGUCUGUGGAUGAGGACGGGAGGCGAGAGGGAUUUGGGAGGAACGCGUCGGUGGAGCAGUUGCUCGAACGGCGUCGGUGAAGCGCUCCAAACGGCUGGGCUGAAAAGCCCAGCCGGAAGAAGCCCAGCAGCAGCAGAAGCCCACCGAACGGGCUGUUAGUAGCUUAGCGAACUACCUUAAAGCCUAGCUUGUUAUGAAGCCAAGUAGUACAUGUACGUAUAAUCAUCUAUGAUGUAUAUCUUAUUUUAUUGCAAGACGUCACCUGUUUGUUUCUGUUUUUUUUUUUUGCGAGUUGUUUUCUCUGUUUUGAUAUUGGAGUAAUUGUCCAGUCAUGGAGAAAACAAAAAUUGAUUCAAAGCUACCAUAUGGUUACUUCUUUUAGGUUUCUAUGUUCCGUGGUCCUAUUCCAUAUUCUUUUGAAGCGAAAUUAAUAUAUAAUGCAAUGCUUUGCUACCUAGGUUUUUAAAAUAUUUGUGAUCAAUACACGAUGAGUGAAUAAAACUAAAUAUUGCUUAUGCAUGUAUCACGCGGUUACAUGGACUAAGAACUAUAUGGUCGACAGCAUCUGGUCCAUUUCUACACAACAAUCCAUUCACAUCUAGACACAAUUUAAUACCGUCUUACAUCUUACCUCCCCUAUGUUUAAAUCCUAGCUAUGCCCCUGGGUGGAAGAGACAACAGUGGAGCAGAGGUGGCAUGAAUUCCACCGGAGCCGGGUAGUGGGAGACUCCCGGUGAGCUGUGAAGGCAACAAAGGCGUCUAGGCCAAACAGAUUAGCACUGGGUGGCGGUGGGGGCGUCACACUCAGGGCUGAGUUGCCCGACCGCGUGAGGAAUAAGGCUUCGAGGAAAAUGGAGGAAGAGGAAAGCUCAGCCGUUAGAUUCAAAUCGAACGGUUAUCAACACUGACCGAUGUAAAUAUAAAAUUUCAAUCAUUUUGAUAAGAAGAUAGCAUUAAAAAAUGGAAUUCAUGACCUUUGUUCCAAGGUGGAGGUUUAGAAAUUGAAAAUUUUACCCAUUCAUUUUUGGCUUUUAGAUAGAAAUUAAGAGUGGGGGUUUGGAAGUUCGAUUUGUUAGUCACAUCUCUUUGGGUUUUCGAUAGAAUUAAGAGCGGAAAUUUAAGAGAGAAUUCAUGUCCUUUACUUGGAGUGGGUUUUAGAUGUGAGAAAUUUGUAUCGUAAGCCAUGAUGAAUAAUGCACAUAUGACAUAUAUCCUAUAAUUUUCAUCCGUUUACCAACCCUCCCUCUAGUAGGUCAUCAAUGGAUUUUUGCACUCAGAUGUGUUUGAUUUUGCACCCUUCUAGUAGGCGAUUAAUAGAUUUUUGCACUGAGAUGGGUUUAAUUAGAGAAAAGAUAUGAUAGGACAGGACAAUCUUGUUUUUAGGAACGGGAAGAAGGGUGGAUCGUCGCGGAUGCGAGCUGCAAGCGGCGAGGCGGAGACGAUGACAUAAGGUUGAGUUUUUGCACUGUCCGUUCCACGAACCAAACACACCAAAAACUCACAUUAUCCGUCAUCUAGCUAACAAGAUGAGCCCAGGAUCUGAAGAAAAGUUGCAGAACAAAACCAGCGCAUGUCAUACUAGCAAGAGUUCAUUUGGGACCCGUCACAAAGCCAAAUCUCUAAUCACGCUUCAAACGGUCACUACAAGCAUAACUUUGCCCACAUGCGAAGGUUAGACCAAAACGACAUCACAGCCCAGAUGCAAGGUUAAGUCAAACGAGCAAGGGAACCAAACAGGUCCGAUCAUGAAAACACUAAUUCAACUAUCAAGUGGAUUGGAGGAUCAAGUGUUAGCAAAACAUGGCCAGCAGAUUUCAAGAAGCAAAGAGUACGCAUUUUCAUCACGCUCAUUGUACUUGGAUGACAAUAGAAGUGCGAUACAUCAAAUCCUGGUAACUUCUGAGCAAAACUUAAGGGUAAAACAUGUUCAUUUUCACUAAUCUAGGCCUUGAUAGCAUACUUCCUCAUGGGGAAGUACUUCUCGCGCUUCUUCUCCCUCUCAGUCUUCAAAGAGAGCUGCAGAAUAAGAGCAAAGCAAGUCAACAAACUGAAAGAUCUAUGCAAGUGAGGCUCUCCAUUACACUACAAAGCAAAUGAAUAUCUAAUCAACCAAUUAGCUAAUUCAGUCAACCAUUAUAACAAUACAUAGUGACAAGCACAGGUAUGUAAGCCCACAGAAUAAUAAUCAACUUAAAAUAGGCGUACAACAUGCCAUGAUGACUACUAUUUACAAACAAAGGAUCGCUUCAAGAAUGCAAGAUUUUCUCAGCACCAAUGGUGAAAGGAAUGACCAACCACUAAGUGAAACAUACUCCAUCUAGUCAGGAAUAUUUGAUGUUGCUCACCAGGACUGUACUGGACAUAGUUGGAAAAACCUUGAUGGAACAGCACAUAUUAGCAACCUGAGGCAGUUCAAACAACUGCCCUGAGGAGCUUAGCACAUGCCAUAAUGUGCAAAGCAUAAAAUCACUAGGACCUACCAUGACAAUAUCCAACCAUAGGAAUAAGAAAAGAAAAUGGUCCUCAAGAUUAUUGGUUCACUAGGAAAAGGAAUUUAUGUUGAAUACCCGAACAAGCAGCCUCAGUUUGAUCAAACCCUUAGCCACAAUCCAAUAUCCUUCUGGCAGUAAUGCUAGACUUCAAUUAAAACUAUUUGCCCUUCACUGCCAGGCCAACAUUCUUAUUUAGACUGGUGUUAAAGCUUGUAUCUUAGAUUGCAUUUAGUUCAAACCAAGCAAACAUUCAAGCUACCUAGUAUUCAUCCUCCUUGGCAUUUCACCAAUCACCAAUUAAGCACAUUAACACAGCAGUGCUAGAACAAGACAAACAGAAACAAAAACAUCUUCCAAAAAUAUGUUACAACCCUAACCACAAAGUCAAUUUGUAGACAGCUUGAACAACUGGUGAACCAAAUCACUGGGAAAUAACUAGCAAAUACGCCAUACAUACAUUUUUUCAUGUCACUUUAACUGCCAUCCAAUCUUCAUACAGACGAAACACCAAAUUGAUACAAUAUUUGCAUCAACAUAAAGUCAUCCAAUCUUAAUACAUGUGUCCAUUCAAUCUUUAAACAGGGAUGUCUGUUUUGACUGACAUUUGCACCAUUCAACGAUUCCACGAAACAACAAACAUCAACAUAUCCAGAUCGAGGUUUCAACAAGGAAACAAAGUAAUACGUGCAAGAGAUGCGGGAAGGAGAUGUGGGCACGGUAUGUACCUGGUGCUUGGUAAGGCGCCUGCGGAUGGCGCGGGUCUUCUUGGGGCGGAGGUCGAGGGGGAGCAGCUUCUUCUUCUUGUACGCCUCCCGAAGCGCCGCCUUCUGCUUCUGCGAGAUCACGGUGAGCACACGCGCGAUGGAGGUCCGCACCACCUUGCUGCAAGAGAAGAAGCCACAGAUCCACGACUCUCAGUUUCAGUUUGCCGCGAACACGGGGAGAAAGGAAAACAGAAGAGGAAGGAGGGCAAGAGAGCAAUCAAGCACGCACAUCUUGGAGAGCUUGUUGGGGGCGCCGCCGGUGACCUUGGCGACGCGGAGGAGGGAGAGCUCCGACUUCAGCUCCUUGAGCUGCCCCUGCAGCUCCGCCUUGUUCCUCCCCCGCAGCUCGUGCACCUUGAUCCGGGCUGCCAUAGGCACAACGAAAGGUUAGAUCCGGCAGGGAACACGCGAGCAGGAAAGCCGGCGGCGAGAGUCGUGAAGGGGGGGCUUACCCAUGGCGAGUCGCGGGCCGGGCUUCCUGCGGCGGCGGCGGCGGCGGCGGCGGCGUGUGAGGGGAUGGAAAAUGGAGGGAGAAGCAGGGAGGGAGGCGGCGGCUUGUGGCUUAUAUACGUGGGCGCUAAAACCCCGUGAGGGCGAGGAAACCCUAGACCUGUUGUGGGCUCUUGGGCUGAGAUAAAUGGGCCGUUAAUGAUAUGCAAGGCCUGGACAUAAAAAUAUUUCCGAAUAUUUCUUUUGCUCGAUAAACUGAUUUGGGCCGUGACAUAUAAUGGACAAAAAAUGUGAAGCCGAUUAAUCAACCAAGAUUAUCUUUUGAAAGGAUUAAUCAGCACAGGCUAACAAACCUUUCGCAUUUCCCUGUUCCAGUGAUCAUUUUAAAUUUCACGAGAUUACAAGCUUAUUAGAGUCUGAAGAUGAAAAUCCGUAAAUGCCACGUUCUAAGGAUUAACAUAUGCCAUAACAUUUGUACUGAAAAAAAUAUAAGAAAAAGUUGUUACAACGCAUAUUCUGAUCCCAGAUCCAAACAUCAACUUCCAAAACGAAGUGCAAAUCCACUCACAAAGAAAAAGGUGGAAGCUGCAUAACGAAGUACAAGCUAUUUGUAGCGAUGUUUCUGGCCGUCAAAACCUGGAAGUGCAUCAGCUAGGUUUGCUUUUCCAUGGGCAUUCCCCAAAAGUACAGGAAAAGUUAAAAAAAAAUCUCAAUGUUUUCUAACACUAUGGUUUGGGAGACAAACAGAUAAGCACCUAAAAUUCAUCAUAUUUCUGUCUGUAUGCAGUUCUCCAAAAUACGGUGUAGCUAGGAAUCCUCCUUGUCAAGUUUACCGAGUGCUCGCUGGGCAAACAACUUCUCCUCUCGAGCUUUUUUCUUAGCCAAAGCUUCCUCAUCUAACACUUGGAUCGGAGACCACUCGGGUAGUGUAAACCAGUCUUUCUUUUCAGAGAGCUGUUCUUUCCAGGCAUGCCAUUCAGGGGCCAGCUUCAACGCAGCAUAGUCCAUUGCGGUACCAGCAGCUGCAAAGGUGACUGCAUAUUUCACUGCUCCAAAGUGUCCGCCUGUAGCCACAGGAGGUCCAAAAAGUGUAAAUGACCAAUUAGUCAUGUUCAGUAAUUCAUAUCGACAUACAGUGUGGGAUCACAGUUAGAAAAUGAUAUUCAAAUGAGCCAGUGUAUUUCUCAAACAUCAAUUCAAAAGCACACUUUCCAUUUUCUCUGGUGGAACAUUCAAAACCUAAAACUGGGAAAACAAAGAAACUUCUAAAAUUGCCACACUUCCAAGCACAUAGACAAGUUUCAAUAGAGCCCCAAUCAUCUGACACAGAAAAAUAUUAGGAUUGCUAAAAUGUUGCAGCACUUUAAUUUCCAGAAUACAGAUAAAAACGUGGAAGUUGCUAAAAUGAUUGCUAAAAAGUUGAGGGAUUAAGCUUAGCAAGCUCAGAACAAGGAUGCUAACAAGUAACUAAUUUAAAGUACGCACAUUCACACUGAAUAAAAAAGAUGAACCACUACAACAGCAUUAUUGUCAUAGACUAAUAUUUAACUGAAAACCAGGGAGUCCACACUUGAUUGGAAUUCAACAGAAAAAUUACUGUGGUCUCAAGUCGAAGCCAAUCCCUACCAAACCGUACCUACAUAUAUUUAGUAUUUGAAAGCCUAAACAUGAUAAAUCAAUUUAAAACCUGAGAUCCACUAUGACCUGCAUGCAGCAUAUACCGCCUACUUACUGGUAUCUCACAGUCUGUAAGCUAUGGUUAAGAUAUCUCCAUAUGAAAUUAUUGAAAGUUCUCAGGAUUAGUGGUGGCUGCCUGUUGCCUCCUAUCCCACAAGGUAAUUAAUUGAUGACCAAGAAGUAGAUGUAAACUAGAUGCUUGGAAAAUAUGCAUCUUGUUGAGCAUUUGAAGAUACUUAAAAUUUGGUAAUAUUAGCCUUAACAGUACAGACGCACCCCACAUUGAGAUAUAUGUACACAUGCCCAUGAUGAUUGAUAUGAUUUCUGAGAAUACUUCUAUUUCUACAACCUUCCUCAGACUAGAGAAUCUAAUGCUAGAAGUUUUUUUGGUUAUUCCCGAAAUAUGCACAGUUAAGCUUUAAAUAUUGUUUGGCUACACUUGAAUAAAAAACCUGACCAUGAUCUUGACAACAAUGACAUGUGGUUUAGAUUGUAAAGUUUGGUCCCACUAUCCAACCAAACCUCGUAGCAGUGCAAGUUAACUGAGCAAUAAUAUAAAUACUUCUCACUGUAAAACUAGGCCUGGCAAACUUUUCAAGUAUGAAGGAUGGUAUUCGAUGUAGUAACCAACCUUGUAUUCGACCAAGAACAGCUCCACUUGCUAGCCCACCAACAACAGAAUUCAUGGGAUCAUCAGGUCUUGUGGCUCGAGCAUCUCUUGCAAGUUCACGUGCCCCUGGAAGGCAACAAUAAUAUAUGUUUUACUGAAACAUGUCAUAUCUACACACGAAAAUGCAACUGCAAAAUGCUCUAUUAUCUUGAUCACUUCGUAUUAGAUAACAACAUUUCAAAAGUGGAUUCACUGUUAGCUACAUGUUCACUUCCUUUUCCUGAAAUUUGAACCCACAAUAUAAAAGCAUCUACGUCUUAAAAGUUAAAUCUCUUGUUCCUUUGUUUUUGGCUUUAACACUCUUCAUCAACAAGACAGACAUGCUUAACUCCCCUGUGAUGACAAGAAAUACUAAUAGAUGAAAGGUUGUUCCUGUGACAAGACUGGAUGCCGUACAUAAAACGUAGCCUGAGGUAAGCCUGUGUAAGCCAAACCAUAAACCAUUAUGUAGAACAUAAAAAACUAUAGGUACCUCAUAGAUUUAACAUGUUACCAGCUAUCCCCUUCUGUCAUUUUGAGCAGAUGCACAGCAGUCAACUUACACUAAUCUAGAUCUGCCAAAGUCCCCACAACUAACAUCCAGCAGCCCGCAGGAUUUGUAAAUGUCAGUGAACGUCUUCAGUUCUGUCUUAACCAUAGCUGCCCCAACUUCUUCAAGGGAUGUUGAAGUACAAGUGAAAAUUUUCCCCAGUUAUCCCCUCCCACACAAGGAAGCAUCAAGUUUGUGAAGAAAUUCUACUACAAGCAUCCACUGACUAGAUUACAAUGACAAACAACUUAUCUUUAUUCACACCAUAACCGACAAAACAACAAAGUAGAUUCGGUAUAAGUCGCAAACUUUGCAAGAACAGAGACCUCACCUCCGUAGCACCCGGCGACGAUGGCAAGGUUAGCGGCGUAGGUGACAGCGGCACGGGCGGCGCCAAGGCGUGCCCGGUGCCGCGACAGCAGCCCGAACGCGGCUCCAACCACGCCUGCACAGCAACCAAAUCGACAAGACGCGACGGAUCAGGAACGCCUGCCCAGGCUAGGACCAGCUCCAAGAAACGUAAAAGAGGGUUGCGACGAGGGACGGCUCACCGGCGCCGGCGGCAGGGAAUAUGAUCCGCUCCUUCCAGUCGUCAGAGAACGGUGAGGGCGCCUCCGGGGUCGUUGCGCCGGCAGCUUCACCGGCGGAAGCAGCCAUUCCCGUGAUGGCGGCGCCGGCGGACGUGCCUCGCAGUGACUGAGAACAGCUUAGCGAAGUUGAUUUGGGCUCCACGACUUUGGUAGUUUCGGCGAGAGCCUGCUGCUUGCGUGAUUCGGCCCGUUGAUCUGUGAUGGGCUCAUGCCUCAUGGGCUUGGGCAAGGAGGCCUGUCGGCCACAUGGUGACACUUCGCAGUUCGCACAGCACACAACAGAUCGAGGCGUCAAACUUAAAACCAAAAAAUUCCUCUAGAAAACUAAACAUAAAAGUUCCCUCACGUUUGGAAGUUGUCGAUGUUUCAACUAAACAUUCUAUUUAUCUAAAAAAUAUUCAAUGUUAGAUUAAAUUGUUAAUGUUUCAAGUAAAUUUUAAAGCAUUCAACUUAAAAUGUGAAAAAAAACGAAUAUACGAAACUCCAAACUUACAACUGAAAAUCUAAACCUCUCAUGUGUUUGGUGACUUGAUCUAUUUUUGAACUUUUCUCUAUGGUCCUAGAGGGGUAGCAACAAGAACAAAAAUGGAGAUAUAAUUUGUUCAGUUAAAGAUAUCAACAAAGUAAUAACACCUAAAAUUGCCUAGGACAAUGUGCGUGUGUAGUGGUUAGUGCAUGCGUGUGUAUGUACUAAGUUUUUAAAAAAUAGAUCAUCAAGUAAGACAUUGCUGAGAAGUAACCCGUUGUCAAUUCCUGUCAGACCAAUGUUCUAAAUGGUGUGUUGACCAACUAGUUGGCAAAACUUAACCCUCGGUAGAAGACGAAUUAUUGACAGUACGUCAGCAAAAAGGUAAAUCCCUAUGACCAAGAUUACCUAGUGGAAGAUUAAUACCUAAUGGUUGAAUAACCAUUGGCAUUCCUAUAGGUUACGUUUUUAGUAGCGGGGAGAAAUAAAAUGCAACACAUAUCCCGCCAGAAACGCUAAAGGACAAGCUUUGGUAGCGGCGAGGUUAUUAUCAUAUUUUUAUGAACAGAGUCCUAUUCAGAAUCAACACAUGAAUUGUGCUUGCUCGCAGCACCAAAGAUCACCUCGUCAGCGUCGUUGAACUAGGUCGGUCAGACCGGUCCUUACAUAGCUGCUGCGAAAAUCUAAGAUCGCCGCCUCGGGAGGGACCCCGUCGGAGGUGGCGCGUCUAGGGUUGCUCUGAGAUCGGUCAGGCCACUCAGAGCUUUCUCAACCGCCGUGGAGAUGGAGGAAAGCAAGGGAAUUGGAAAAGCUAGGGUUUGGAGAUAAAAGGUAAAAAGAUUUGUUUGACGAUUGGGUAUGAGCCCUCAAUCGGUCAGAACCCUCUAUAUUUAUAGGGUGGGAGGCCUUUUUCUGCAAGAAAGUCCCGUUUCAACUCCAAUUCAACUAGAACUCUUAAUUCCUUCUCAGACUAGGUUAGACUGGUCUGACCGGCAGACCGGUUUUGCCUAUCAAAUCGGCUUUAGAACAUGAUCAGCGGCGCUGCCACUUUUGAGAGUCAACACAUAUAUUAAACCAAAACCCACCUUAAUUACAUUUUGUAAACUUGAAAAAUGUUGCAAGCAUUGUUCAUUUGUGCUGCAAGCAGUAAGAAAAUACGGCGGCGAGGAAGAUUGAGAUUGUUCACUAGUCUACCACCACUUGAAGCUAAGGCCUGCACCAAGUUCUCCCAUAUCUUACCUGCCUCCUCACCACCUUCUCCACCUCGCUCCAUGGGCACUCCUGCUCCUGCACCACCUCCCACUCCUAGAGCUCCAUGGCGGCGUCGGCGGCGAGGAGGUUGCCCGGGACGGCGCGGCUGCGGCCGCGUAGGGCGAGGCCGUGGUGGUAGCGGCGCGGGAGCACGUCGCCGACCCUGAUCUCGAGCGCCGGGACCUCGCGCGGGAGGCGCGCCCACUGCCUGGCGAGCACGGCGGUGGAGAGCGCGGUGCGGGUGUCGAGGCAGCGCAGGAUGAGGCGGAGCAGGUUGUCGGGCAGUGCGCUCAGGCGGUCCGCGCUGCCGCCAUCGUCCGAGAUAGGGCGCGCGCACCGACGCGGCCUCUUGAUCCUGGCCAUGGCUACUGGCUGGUUUGCUCGAUCUGGUAGCUAGAGCAAAUGGCCUUACUAGGCGGGUUGACUGGUGCAAACGAAAUCGGUCUCGAACGCGGCAUUUACGACGUGGCAUCGAUCUCCAGAGCCGGAAUCGGACUUCGAGAUCAGAGAUGCCACUAGCUAGCCUCGGUUAGUUUAAGUCUGGCAGGGAUACUCUCUGUUCUUGGGUACAAGUACAACUCCGGCGAGCUUAGUGGCGUAACAAUGCCCUCUGUGCAUCAAUGCAGUCCCUGGCUGCGGCGGCGCGUUUGGCACGGCACUGGCCGUGUCCGCGGGCUGGUGCACGAGGGGAGCCAUGGCCGUGCGACGGCCGAUGGCAGGGGUCAGUUAAGAGAACAAAGGAUGGUGAUUAUAAAGCCUAAUGACGAUCAUGCAUAAACAGAGGAAAUCUAUCGGCGAGGAUCAAAUUCAAAUAACCUGGACAUAUUGGCACAUAUCAUGAACAUACAUAUUUCAACUUCACCACGCCGUGCCUGAUUUAUUCCUGGUGAGCAUUACGAAACAAGAGACAACGCUAACAUUUGUAGUCCAAAACUCGCCUAGUGCAGGAGCGUACAACACCAUUAUAGGCUAAGGAGAAGUCGAAGUCUACCAAGCUCACUCAAACCUUACAUUACCAUCCCUCCGUCAAUGGUAAGCACCUGCGUGCAACAUGGGUUAGUUGAAAUGCUACGAAAUAGAACUCUGAAAGUUUGAGGGCAAAUGCAGUCAGUGUCAUGCACCUGUCCGGUGAUGUAGCUAGCCGCAGGAUUAAGGGCCAAAAACUCGAUUAAACCCGCAACUUCCUCUGGUUGGCCGUAUCUCCCUGGAAGUUGUAUGACAACAUGUAUAGUUAGUGGUGACAGUUGCCGUUUGAAUGCAGAGGAAAAACAAGAGCCGAGCAAUAUGAAAUAUCUCAAUAUGAUGUGUUUUCAUAUUCUACUAAGGUCCCGUUUGCUUCCAUUGACUUAUUUUUAGCACCCGUUACAUCGAAUGUUUAGAUACUAAUUAGGAGUAUUAAACGUAGACUAUUUACGAAACCCAUUACAUAAGUGGAGGCUAAACGGCGAGACGAAUCUAUUAAGCCUAAAACUAAUGGGUUAUGGUUCUAUAAAAUCCAGCCCGUGCCACUCUGCAUCAAUGAGUAACUGUAAAAGAAUAUGCUUGGAUUUUAUAAAAGAUGGAGUAAAUACGCUUUUAGUUUACUGUUUUCCUUUCUAGCCUCUACAAAUUAGUACUCUGCUCUUGCAGUCUAUCUAAAUAUCAAAGGCCGUUUUAACUCUAGCUGUCCCACGCUGCUAUCUAUAGUAAUAAAUACCAGAAUGAUCUUCCUCUUACAAACAUUAAAUGGUGCAUCACUAAUGAAUACCAGCUAGUAACUUUCGUUUGGAGCAUCACUAAAGAACCAUAAAACAAAGCAAGUUAACAAUGCUACUUGUCCAAUGGUGCAGCUUAAGACACUAAUACAAAGGUGUUGUACACAGGAACAGCUAAGCUGCGUACAGCUUACCUAAUGGAUCUCAAGCUCUUCCCCAAGCUCGGCAGUCAUAUCAGAUGCAAUGAACCCUGGUGCAAUAGAAUUCACCUGCAUGUAUAUUCAGAACAGUUUCAGAAUGCAGACUAGCCUAACCUCACAGGUGAGUUAAUAGUGAAAGAUAAAGAUCAUACAUUGAUAUUUCUGCUUGCAUAUUCCCUGGCAACUGUUUUUGUGAAGCCAAUAACCCCAGCUUUGGCUGCACUAUAAUUAGCUUGGCCAACAUUACCAGUAAGCCCAACGACAGAUGCUAUGUUGAUAAUUCUCCCCUGCAUUUUGCAAUAAAAAUACACACAUUACUAACCAUGAAAAAAUAGCAAACAAGGCAACUUUUGACAGCAACUUCUUGAAAGUCAGAGACUCGAAGAGUACAAGACAAAUACAAAUAUAAGUAGUGGUAACAAACUAUCAGUCCAUGACCUUCUGUGUGUAUUUGCCUACCUUCUGAGGCACAACACAAUAAUAAUGUAUUAUUAAUGUGGGGUAUGGAUUAAUAUUAGUUCUUUUGCUUCACACCACCUCAAAGAGAACAAAACAUAUACAAGUAAUAUAACAAACUAUCAGCCCAUGACCUUCCAUGUGUAUUUGUCUAACUACUGAGGCACAACACAACAAUAAUGAACUAUGAAUGUGGGUUAUGCUUUAAUAUUUCUCUUGCUUCACACCACUUUCAGUUAUAUAAUAUUUUACAAACACAAAGUAAGAAAAUCAUGCAAGGAGGCACUCAUUUCGUUGUGCUUCUCCAAGUAAAUUAAGUGUAAUAUGAAGAGCAGAGAAAUAUUACCUUUUUCUUCUUCAUCAUUACUUUAGUAGCAGCCUGCAAAGAAUAUGUUGUUGUAAGAUGCAUCUAACAAUUCAAGUAAUUUCAAAAUAAAGAAAUAUUAUAAACUCACCUGUGUGCACAGGAAGACACCUGUAAGAUUCAGAUCAAUUACAUCUUGCCACUGAGAUUUCUUCAUCCUCAUCAAUAAUGUGUCUCGUGUAAUCCCUAAUAAAAAAUUGUUUUAUUUGACUAAACAAAUCAACUGAAUAGGUAGCAGAAAAAAGUGCACUGUGUCACGGGAACAUACCUGCAUUGUUUACCAGCACAUCUAUUGUUCCCCAUUUAUCCAUAGCCUAAUUGAUUUAAGAACUAAUCAUAACCAUGUCCAAAUAAAGAUUGAUGUAAAAGUGAAAAGGAACAUUUUCUUUCUGUAAACAAACUACACUUACUGCUUUCAUCGUAGAUUCUACAUCAGCUUCUUUUGAAACAUCUCCUCCGAAGGUGAUAGCCUCACCACCAGACGCUUCAAUCUGCAAAAAUAGCACUCUUCAAGUAGGAAAGGGGACAAAGAAAGUAAAAUGAAAAGUAGAGCCAAAUGUUGGUCUGUGCAUAUUUGUAAGCAGAAAACUAUCACAGAAUUGAUAGUGGUGAAUUUUAAUCAACCACAUUCAAGAAUCACCAUUCUAUUUCUGUAUAGUUCUUGCACUGUUGUUACUAUCUACUGGUCUCUAUAUUUGCCAUUACAAUGGUUGAAACCAUGAAACAUAAUUCAAGGUGAUUGUUUAACUGUUUUGCAAUUGCAGUGUCUCUAAAAUGGCAGUGAAAAUUAGGAAUAAUGACACUGUCACUUCUCUAGAUAGAUGAAUAAAACAUGAUAAUAGUUCUAUGUACUCCUUUGUAAGGCCAAACAUGAAAGAAGAAUUCAGAAUGAGAUAAAUAACUUUGCAACGCUGAGAAUCAAGGAGAGGGAUAGCAAUAAUAAUGUUCUGCAAGGAAUAAGUCUGAUCACUUCUAGUGAAAUCCAAAUCAAUUAAUCAGUAACUAUUGAAGAUUGUGUUUGUGUUAGCUGAGCCCUCUAAUAUAAACUGACAGACAAACAAAUAAUAGACAACAAAGU
rnacentral:lncRNA from 1 species